GCAAUAAAUAAACGAAUUUAUGCCAAACCUAAAUGUGAUUUAAGACCCGGCAUGGAAAAUCGGGGCGUGUUUAAACCUUUUUGAGAACUAAAACUUUAAAUUUAAUUAUUAAAUGUAGGAGUUUUUCCAAGACUGUGCCGAAAUCCUAGCCACCAAGGUAAACAACAAAUAAUCCAGAAAACACAGGAUCUUAGCCACACUAAGUUCACGGAGGACAUCAAACAAGAAAAGGGUGUGACUGGCUGGUGCGUCCUCGCAACUGGAACUCAUCAUGGUCCAAUUAGGAGGAUCUUCAAGACAGGCAGAUCCCCUGAGGCAGAUGUCAGAUUGUUCCACCUUACCGAGAAACCAGAAUUCAGUCCAUGCUCUGUUCCAGGACUGGACUUCUCUGCCUCCUCAUUCAGAGUUCACAACAGAACUCAUCUCAGGAUCCCUUCCACUAGUCUACUGACUGCUCCUCUGGAUCUGCUGUCUGGAUUCACCUUCACUCCACCACCACCACCACCUACCUUUCCACCCUCCAACACUCUGCCAUCAUCUCCAUCUUCCCCUGAAACAUAAAACAAAUAUCAUGAUGAACCUGCAUCGCUCGUCAAAGCCUGCCAACCUCAGCCUGUGGGCUUACUCACCUCCUCGCUGGAAUGUUCAUCAUCACCAUGAAUGAUCUGACCUCGCUUCCCUUGUUAACCACUUACCUCUCCUCCUCAGUGCCAACCUGGACUCCUCCCAAGAACCCAGAAAAAAGAUUUGUUAUUUCACUUGAGUCAAUAAACCUUUUAAAACCUUU